UUCUUAGCUACAGUGCAUAAAUCCACCAUUAACUAAGGGCUUAGGUAAAAUAUAGAAGUGCGCGUGCGCCGCAUAGAAUUUCAAUAUUAACGAGUACCAAUUUCUAUCAUUUUAUGUGCAUUCGUGUUAAUCGAUGAAAAUUAUUAGGUGUAUCUGAAAAAAUAAAUUUAAUUUUUUCACAAUCAAUAUCAAUGUCAAACAUCAAAGUAUGGAACAAGUAGAAAGUGGUUCGAGCACGUGCGCAGAACUAACAAGAGAGUGCUUGAACGCCACUGAAUUCUUAGGUUUAGUUGUUAGGUAAGAUGCUUGAAGAGUUGAAAUGGAAAUGUUAAUGCUCAUAAUAAAACCCAGAUUCAAAACAUUCCUUGAUUCAUAACUAAUCAACAUCACAACAUAUUUCAUCAGAUUAAAGCAUUCUCAAUAGAAUGUAUUAGCCUGUGAAAGCAAUAUGCCUCAGAGCCUAGGGUCUCAUCUGCAAAGCGAUGCAAGUAGAAGCCACGUGAGGGCCAGUCCAUGUUGUUAUAGGUCUAUGGAAGAAUCUGAUCGCAGAAUAUUCAUCUUGGGAAAUUCUUCAUUCUAUUGAAACUAUGUAAGAAAUGAGGUAUAUUUAUUUAUUACUAAUUAAUUAAAAACAUUGUAUUUUACGAGAGUUUAUUUACUGUAUAUUGUUUACAUAAGAAAUCUACUAAAAUAACUCAUAAAAUGGAAAUUAUUUCUUAAAAAAAUUAUGAAACUAGCUUGUUUUCAUUUUCUUCUUGAGAAGACAUACCGCCUGCUUCCUCUGGUCUAUGUUUCCUGUGACGUGGAUUGCCAGCUAUCUCACCAUUGCUUUGGUGGUCAUCUAAUGGGUCUUCUUCCGAGGGGUUUGUUGUCCCUGGUGAUCUUUGCCAUUCUGUCCACAUGCUGGUUCCAUCUGACCACAUCGUCCACUUGGCACUUCUCUCUUAUAAUAUAAUUUUUCUGUCUGUCCGACAGUUUGUAUCUUGUUAUUGUUCUUAGGAUCUUCAUUUCAGUUGUUCGCAAUACCCUCUUUGCUGUAGAUAUUUCGGCUAUGGUCUCCGCUCCAUUGAUAGUUUUCAUUUUGAAAUAUAAUAAUUCACUUAUAUUCUAUAUUCAAGUUAAAUAUCGAUUUUGUAAUAUUAAUCCUUACUAAGAAACAAUUAACCACGCCACUGGAAUGUUUACUGCACCUCCAUUUGUCAAUUUUGCGGGUUUGUUGUUUUCCUACCUCACUUUAUCAUCUUACU